GCAGGCCAUUUGGACUGUGUGGGUUUGCACCCCAGCUUGACAGCAGCACCCAGGUUUUCCCCUGAGAAACGGCUGUACGGUCUGUUUGACGUGAAACGCACUCGCAGCUCCAGAAAUGAGCACCAGCUGGCUUAAGUCAGACGGGCAAACCUUGUUCUUCUUGCCCUCGCUGUGGUCUAGAGAGAGAACGGGGAACAUCGGACCAGUCCAAGUGGACUCAGCCACCCUUUCUGGGAAUAAUGGCGUGUAGAUCUCCUCUCUUGUGCUUGAUGAUGUGGGGACAUGGGAAUUGGAGAAGCUACCAGGGAAUGUGUGGAAGGGUGGAAGCUGAGGACAGGCUCACUGGUGGACGCAGAGUGGAGAAAGGUCUGCGGGGGUAGCAUUUGGGCCCUGGAUCAGCACUUACCUGAAUUACUCCUUGAAUUCCUGAGGUCCAGGGGCCAAAAUUCCCUCUCUUUUCCUCCUUGAGCUAGCGUGGGUUUGGCUUUGCCACUUAAAAGAACCCCAGCCGUAGCGUCUCGUUUAAGGACUUACCUAUUCACCCUCCUGCAUGUGAGACGCAGCAGGACUAGCCUCACCACCGCCCACCCCGCAAGCCCUCUCCUCUCUAACCCAUGCCACACUGUCGAUGGUAUACCCUGCUCAGUGCUUUGUACACAGUAGACGCUAAAUAAAUGGUGACUGCUAUUCUCCACACCCUCUUCUGAACACAGAAACAGAGAG
rnacentral:lncRNA from 1 species